GACGUAGGGCGCGAGCGUUGUCCGGAUUUAUUGGGCGUAAAGAGCUCGUAGGCGGCUUGUCGCGUCGACUGUGAAAACCCGUGGCUCAACCAUGUGGUCUGCAGUCGAUACGGACAGGCUAGAAUUCGGUAGGGGAGACUGGAAUUCCUGGUGUAGCGGUGAAAUGCGCAGAUAUCAGGAGGAACACCGGUGGCGAAGGCGGGUCUCUGGGCCGAUAUUGACGCUGAGGAGCGAAAGCGUGGGGAGCGAACAGG
rnacentral:rRNA from 1 species